CCUUUAUGGAGAGUUUGAUCCUGGCUCAGGACGAACGCUGGCGGCGUGCCUAACACAUGCAAGUCGAACGGUCUGGUGUUUAACACCAAACGCUACAUGCUAACCGGGGACUAAGCGGAAAGUAAGAGCGAUUGGUGUUGAACGCCAGGUAGUGGCGAACGGGUGAGUAACGCGUAAACAACCUGCCUCAUAGAUGGGGACAACACCGCGAAAGUGGUGCUAAUACCGAAUGUUUU
rnacentral:rRNA from 1 species